rnacentral:tRNA from 1 species
GCAUUUCCCUUACACUGAGAAGACAUCCGUGCAAUUCGGAUUGCUCUGAC